AUACGGAGGGGGCUAGCGUUGUUCGGAUUUACUGGGCGUAAAGCGCGCGUAGGCGGUAUAUCAAGUUAGGCGUGAAAGCCCCGGGCUCAACCCGGGAACUGCGCUUAUUACUGAUAAACUAGAGUCCGGGAGAGGGUGGCGGAAUUCCCAGUGUAGAGGUGAAAUUCGUAGAUAUUCGGAAGAACACCAGUGGCGAAGGCGGCCAUCUGGCCCGGUACUGACGCUGAGGUGCGAAAGCGUGGGGAGCAAACAGGAUUAGAAACCCUAGUAGUCC
rnacentral:rRNA from 1 species